CUGCCUUAAACUAAUGAGUAAGGAAAACAAAGCGAACAAUGAGGGCCGAUAGCAGUACUAAAAUUGUGCAAACGUUUAAAAAUGGCACAAGAAUUUAUGGAAGGGUAAUAAGCUUGCAGGAGUUGAUGACGCUGCUUACUUUUGUAGAAGACUUUUGUGUGGGCCUCCCCA
rfam:Capsella rubella cultivar Monte Gargano unplaced genomic scaffold scaffold_4, whole genome shotgun sequence.